UCAAACUCAUUUUCCUCCAAAUCAUAUGGAACCAAUAUAGAAUUUUGAAGCCUUUGAUCCAUGGUAAAAACAGCUUCCUCCAGAAAAGGAAAGGGCGAAUCUGGUGAAAUUGCCUUACAAUCCCUCAGAGGUACCUGGGGAAUGGCUAUGAGUUUGGUCCAAGAGGUUGUGUCCCCAUAUUCUUUCAUUGACCAAACAUUCACAGAAGCAGCUUCGACUUCAUGCGAAAGCCAAUUCCAAGGAAGAUGUGCAGGACGAGGUUUGUAACCUCUGGUCGGGGUCACUACUGUCUGAGACAGACAAAGGCAGCCUUGCAAGACACCCAAGUUCAUCACAACCACAUCGCCUGCAGAAUAUCAAACCUGGGAAGACCAUCUCCAUGAACGUCUCUU
rnacentral:lncRNA from 1 species